GACAGAGGAUGCAAGCGUUAUCCGGAAUGAUUGGGCGUAAAGCGUCUGUAGGUGGCUUUUCAAGUCCGCCGUCAAAUCCCAGGGCUCAACCCUGGACAGGCGGUGGAAACUACCAAGCUGGAGUACGGUAGGGGCAGAGGGAAUUUCCGGUGGAGCGAUGAAAUGCGUAGAGAUCGGAAGGAACACCCAAGGCGAAAGCACUCUGCUGGGCCGACACUGACACUGAGAGACGAAAGCUAGGGGAGCAAAUGGG
rnacentral:rRNA from 1 species